AUUAGCCGUGGGACGCAGAUCAAACUAUAUUUAAGGCCUGAUGACAAGUAUGAGUUCUCAGAGCCUGCCCGGAUCCAGAGUUUGGUAAAGAAUUACUCGCAAAUUUUGGUGCAAUUGCUUACACUUUGGUGCAAAAACCUAUUGUCAAGGUCUUACCAGAAAAUGGCCUGGAGGUUAG